CAGAUCCAGGCCAUCAGCUGGCAAUUGUCUAUUUGCCAGCAGGGAGGUCAACUCUCUGUGUCACCGGUGCCUUCCCAGAGCCGUCCCUCGCCUUGAGCGUAUAUAUGAAAUCUCUGCUGCACAGCCACUGCUGAGAUCUUUGCCCCAAGAGAGAUCUUUGUGCAUAUUUUUCUAUGGAAGUCCCAUGAAGUUGAUGUUCUCCCAUUCAAGAUUAAUCAGGCAGACAUGGCCUACCAGUGGCAAUGGGUUAUUAUCAGUAUUGCACCGAUUUUUACUGCAGUGCUAUGAAUGUCACUCCACCAUUCAGAUGCAGCCCAGAGAGCCAAGUGUGUCCUGGGCUGCCUCCAGCCCUGGGGUCCCAGCACAGGAAGGACGUGGAGCUGCUGGAGAGAGUGCAGAGGAGGGACACCAAGGUGAUCAGAGGGAGGGAGCUCCUCUCCUAUGGGGAAAGGCUGAGAGAAUGGGGAUUGUUCAGCCUGGAGUAGAGAAGGCUUUGAGAUGACCUCAUUGUGGCUUUCCAGUCCCUGAAGGGACUCCACAAGGAUGGAGAGGGAUUGUUCACAAUGAUAUGUGACAGGACAAGGGGGAAUGUCUUCAAACUGAAAGACAGUAGUUUGGAUAUUAAAAUGGCAUUUUUUGUGAGGGUGGUGAGGCCCUGGCACAGUUGCCCAGGAAAGCUGUGGAUGCCCCAUCUCUGCAAGUGUUCAAGGCCAGGCUGGACAGAGCUCUGAGCAACCUGGUCUAGUGGAAGGUGUCUCUGCCCACAGCAGAGGGGCUGGGACCAGAUGAUCUUCAGGGUCUUUUCC
rnacentral:lncRNA from 1 species